AGGAGUACCAAUAUGGCGGCCGGUGCCUUCAAAGACUCUUUAUUGUCCCUUUGAAAUCAGCAAUACAGGGAUUCUUGGUGCUUUCAAGACAACUGGGAACUCGGAAAAACGAGGUCAAAUCGUGACGUCAGUGAUCUUCAGUUCGGAAAGCUGUGUAGUGCCCUAGCACAGCUGAUUCGAAUAAUCAAAGCUUGAUGAUGAGUUGGUUAUUUGAAUCGGGGGGUGAUGAUGCCCAAGCUCGGAUGACCAAGUACGGAUGACCAUUCAAAACGAUUUUUCCCAAUCAGAGCUCGUGUUUUUCCCGAGUUCCUAGUUAUCUUGAACACACUGAAGUCGGAGGUCAGAGAUUUUUGAGUUCCCAGUCAUCUUGAACGCGGCAUAAAUACAUCAUUGGGCUGAAUCUGCACACAGCAUCACUACGAAGCACGUCUCAAUUGUCUACUACAAAGAACGACCCGACCGAUCAUUACGGUUACCGACCGUAGUGCGUGUUGAUUUUGUCUUUCUAAAUGCGUAUUUUAACCAAUGGAAGCGGAAGUGUUGAACCCCCAAAUGAUGGCGGACGUUAAUGGCAACAAUAAAUUUCAAAACGCGGAGCUCGAAGUGAUAAAGCUCCAGGAGCUGGUGCGAAAAUUGGAGAAACAAAACGAACAGCUCAGGACAAGAGCUAAUUCAGUAAACAAUUGCAACAAUGGCCCACAUAUAUUUCCAACCUCAUCGGCCUGUCUGCACGGGAGUACAGCGUGUUCGUUGUGUUCUGCUUCUAGUCUGGUUUUCUCUGCAAAUUAUUCAAAUCCAGCACUAUCGCAUCCUUGUGCUCUUGGACCAUUCUCCAAUUUUCAACAAAACUCGGUAUUUGAUGCUGAUGUGGAGGCUGUCGGUUACGGACCUGCCACUGUUCUGGACGAGGUCGAUAUUCUAGACCUGGAUACCGUACUCCCGGUUGGAGAGGCUGAUCAUAGCUGGCUGUAUGUGUGUCCUAAGGCCAGGCUACAGGGCGAGUGUUUCCUUAGUCCCCUCCAGUGGAGCAGGCAGGUGCUGGACCACCCAGGCCCUGAGGUGGAGAUGGCCAAGAGGUCCCUGUGCCACAGACUGGAGCAAGGCAAGUGGAGGAGAAGCAUCAGCAACUCGGGUCUGGUGUCCUCUGUCCGUCCUUACAGCUCCAUCACAGAGUGGAUCUCUCCCCUCAGCUGCCCCAUCCUGCCUUACACUAAACCUGCUGCACUAACCACAGAGUCCACAGCACCAUUCUCUGCAUCCUGCCAUCCCCUGCCCCAGCAGCAGACUCUCCCAGGGAGGGGCUCCUGCAGCCUGAACUCGGUUUACCACAGUGUGAGUCGGCAGCAUGCUGCGGUCAGCCCCCAGUCUUCCAUGGAUAGAGAGGUGGGCACCUCAGAGCUGGAGGAUGACACUAUAUCUAUGGGCUAUAAACUACAGGACAUGACGGACGUACAGGUCAUGGCUCGACUGCAGGAGGAGAGCCUGCGUCAGGAGUACGCCACUACCUCUUCUUCGACCACGGCCAGCCGUCGCAGCUCCAGCUUCUCACUCCGGUGCAGCGAGAUGGACCUGGAGGAGGAAGAGGAGGAUGAGGAGGGCUACAACCAGCUCCCUCCACCCCAGCCUCGGCUGCUCCGGACCGGGUCCAUGCAGUGGGGCGGCCUGUCUCACUCACACACCUUCUCCAGUAUCUCCAGUAUCAGGGAGUGCAGCAGACGCAGCACCUCCACCCCUCAGUACUCCCUCAGUGGGCUGUCCCAGUACCAGCAGCAAUUCUCCGGACCCUCCAGACUCAUCGCGGACACAUAUGGAUACAGGUCCAGCACAGACAAGCUGCGGAGAAGCAUGCCCAACCUGAUCCGAGCUCCCAGCAUGCAUUGCGAUCCCAGUGUUGUUCCAAGCCUGGUGUCUCCUGUCAAUCACUCAUCUGGCCCCUCCUCCCUGCCAAUAACCAUGCGGGGCAGCCAGAGCUUCGACUCGUCCAAUGGGCUCGCACGACUUCAGUCCUCCAUUCCCUCCAUCGGCCAGCUCAGCCAGCGAUUCCAGAGUGUGGGAAACUUCCACACAACCCCCCGACACCCUGUCAAGGCCACAGCCUAUGUCAGCCCCACGGUCCAACAGGGUCCCUUCUCCUCCUCCAACACCCUCUCUACCUCUGCCAUUCGUCACAUCCCCAGCAGUGCACCCCAGGCCCUCAAAGUCACCAUCCCCAGUGGUGUCCCCCAGCUCUCCUCCACCCCCCGUAGUGCCUUACCACGACCCGCCUCCUUCACAGGGACCGGUGGCAUUCCCCGCCCCAGCAAGAUCGCCCAGCCCACACACAGGUAUACUAUCCUUCUGACCCUAUGCAGCCAGGUCCCAUGUACUUUUGAAAUCCUCACAAGUGUGGCUUGUUUGGUGUCAGCUGUGAAGGAAUACCACAACAAAUUUGGGGAAACACGUGUGGACCUGAAUUGUGAUAACUGCAGUGGUCAAAAUAAGAACAAGUUUGUGCUCUGAUAUUGUGCCUGGUGGACCAUGCACAAGCUCCACCACAGUCUGGACCUUCACUUCCUGAUCACAGGCCACGCCAAGUUUGCCCCAGACUGGUGCUUCGGCUUCAUCAAGCAGCGCUUCAUAAAGACCACAGUGAACAUUUUGUCUGAGAUUGCUGGUGUUGUGAAGGACAGCACUGUGACAGGGGUCAACAUCCCACAGCUGGUUGGACUGGAGGAUGAUACGGUGGUGGUGGAAAGCUAUGGCUGGCAACAACACCUGACUCCGUACUUCAGGGCACUGCCACAGAUCAAACAGUACCAGCACUUCAGCUUUGAUGCUCUGGAGCCUGGUGUUGUUGUCGCCAAGGAGCGUUUGUACUCAGUCGGGACCAGGUUUCAGCUGCUGCGCAACGCUGACAUCCUUCCUCCCAUAGAUGGUCUGCCUGUACAAGAACCACCUGGACUGGACACAGCUAGACAAACGUAUCUUUUUGAGAAGAUCAGGGAGUUUUGUGGCGAAGAGGCUAUAGCCAUCACAUGCCCUGCACCAAAGUCAAGGUCAGGACAGAAACAUGCUCUCCGAAUAUAUAGAUUCCCUUGUUCAUGCGUGGUUCGGGGGGACCAGUCAUCAGCACUAUCUGCAGUGCCUCUAUUCACAUGACUCUCUCCUAACACACACGCCAUACGUUGCUGCUACAUUUUUUUACAUUUAUCCUGCUUCUCAGCCACUUUACCCCUGAUUUUAUACAUAUAACUACCUCAUCUAUCACUGAUAUCAUUAUUGAUAUUGUUCUUGUACAUACUGUAUAUUAUAUUAUUUAUAUUGACACUAUCUAUUUCUGAUAUUGCUACUAUGCAAGUAACCAUUUGGCUGUACCGUUUACACCUUCUGUAGAGCCGCAUCCACUUGGCAUUUAUUUAUAGCAUUUAUUUCCCGACCCAUCAAUUUAGACAAGUGUGUCUUGGUAAGCGUCAGCUAAUAUUUAUAAAAUAUUUUUAUCUGGACACUUUCUGUUUACCUGCAAUUUUUCCUUAUUGUAGGCUACUACUUUUACCACGUUUAGUCUUAAUAUUUACUGCACUACUCACUGUUUAGCACAUGACCUCAUGUGAAUCCUUAAAGAGAUGGGUAGGGCUGGCUUAAGAGGGUGUGAACAAUGCUGAAUGGGUGUAGACAAAGGAGAGUGCUCCAGUAGUAGUACCAAAACAUUCAAAGUAUAACGUUUCAGGUAAGACCCUAGUGCAGACUGUGUUGAAGUAACAAUGUUUAUUACAGCAACAGGGGCAGACAAACGGCAGGUCAAGGCAGACAGGGGUUGAUAAUCCAGAGCGGUGGAGCAAAGGUACAGGACGGCAGGCAGGCUCAGGUCAGGUAGAUAUCGGUAAUCCAGAGUAGGGGCAACGGUACAGGACGGCAGGCAGGCGAGGUAGAGUUGUCAGGCAGGCGGGCUCAGAGUCCGGACAGGCAAGGGUCAAAACCAGGAGGGCGAGACAAAGAGAGACUGGGAAAAGUAGGAGCUGAGAAAAUGCUGGUUGACUUGACAAACAAGACGAACUGGCAACAGAAAAACACAGAACACAUGUAUAAAUACACAGGGGAUAAUGGGGAAGAUGGGCGACACCUGGUGGUGGAGACAAUCACAAGGACAGGUGACACAGAUCAGGGCAUGAUACAAAGGCCAUUUUCUAAAAAUUGAGAAAAGUUUAUCAACUUUCAAAGCAGAAUUACUUCCCCAUUGUUCCUCAAAAAUGCUUACUCAAGGGUCUUUUUCCAACAAUUCAAAGAUAAAGAUAAAAAAAUAUACAUUAAAAGAGACAAAAGAAAUAAAUACACAGUGAAUAAUUAAAAACAAGUAAAAAAUAACAUGGCUAUCUAUACACAGGGAGUAUUCGUCCCAAGUCGAUGUGCAGGGGUACGAUGUAAUUGAGGUAGCUAUGUGUAUAUAGAUAGGAGUAAAGGGACUAGGCAACAGGACAGAUAAAAGUGAGCUGUAGUGUACAGUCUGUGGAGCAGUGAAAGUGUGUGUGUGUAUAUUUCAAGUUUCAGGUUUUAAUGUCAUUUGCAAAAGAACAGUGAAAUGCCUUACUUGCAAACUCUAAACCCACUAAAGCAGUAAUCAAUUUCAAUGUAGUACUAAAAAUAACAUUAAAGGUAAAACAAAAACACACAAGAAAGAAAAAUAAGAACACGAGAAAUAAGUAUGCAACGGUGCCUUCAGGCAAGACACAUAAAAAUGUCAAAAACCAUAAUUCCACUUUAACAUUAUGGGGACCACUGACAAAACGAUCUACAUUUAAACCAUUUUAAAUUCAGACUGUAACUCACACAAGGGUGUGAGAACACAGCUAUUUUUCCAGACAAAGACAGGAGUCACAAAAAGCAGAAAGAGAUAAAAUGAAUCACUAACCUUUGAUGAUCUUCAUCAGAUGACACUCAUAGGACUUCAUGUUACACAAUACAUAUAUGUUUUGUUCGAUUAAGUUCAUAUUUAUAUCCAAAAACCUCAGUUUACAUUGGCACCAUGUUCAGAAAUGCCUCCAAAAUAUCCGGAGAAAUUGCAGAGAGCCACGUCAAAUAACAGAAAUACUCAUCAUAAACUUUGAUGAAAGAUACAUGUUUUACAUAGAAUUAAAGAUACACGUGUUCUUAAUGCAACCACUGUGUCAGAUUUCAAAAAUCUUUACGGCAAAAGCACAAUAUUCAAUAAUCUGAGAACAGCGUUCGGCCACAAAAGUAAGCCAGUUACCUGACAAAUUGUGCAGUCAACAAAACUCAUAAAAAGCAUUAUAAAUCUCCACUUACCUUUGCUGAUCUUCGUCGGAAUGCACUCCCAGGACUCCCACUUCCACAAGAAAUGUUCGUUUUGUUCGGUAAUGUCCAUCAUUUAUGUCCAAGUAGCUACUUUUGUUAGCGCGUUUAGUACACAUAUCCAAACGCUCGUGCAGGUCCAGGCGAACGUCGGACGAAAACUUCAAAAAGUUCUACAGACUGUUGACAUCUAGUGGAAGCCGUAGGAAGUGCAAACAGAUCCAUAUCCUACAGUGUUUUCAAUAGGCGAUGAGUUGAAAAUCGACCAACCUCAGAUUUCUCACUUCCUGGUUGGAUUUCUUCUCAGGUUUUAACCUGCCAUAUGAGUACUGUUAUACUCACAGACAUAAUUCAAACAGUUUUAGAAACUUCAGAGUGUUUUCUAUCCAAUACUACUAAUAAUAUGCAUAUAUUAGCAACUAUGACUGAGGAGCAAGCUGUUUACUCUGGGCACCUCUGUGCACCUUUCAUCCAAGCUACUCAAUACUGCCCCUGCAGCCAUAAGAAGUUAAAACAGUUACAGAGUUUAAUGGCUGUGAUAGAAAACUGAGGAUGGAUCAAUAUUGUAUGUUCUCCACAAUACUAAUCUAAUUGACAGAGUGAAAAGAAGGAUACCUGUACAGAAUAAAAAUAUUCCAAAACAUGCAUCCUGGCAACAAUGCACUAAAGUAAUACUGCAAAAAAUGUGGCAAAGUCAUUAACUUUUUGUUAUGAAUACAAAGUGUUAUGUUUGGGGCUAAUCGAACACAAAACAAUAUUGAGUACCACCCUCCAUAUUUUCAAGCAUUGUGCAGGCUGCAUCAUGGGUAUUUAAAAAAAGUUUUAUUUCACCUUUAUUUAACCAGGUAGUCUAGUUGAGAACAGGUUCUCAUUUACAACUGCGACCUGGCCAAUAUAAAGCAAAGCAGUUCGACACAUACAACAACACAGAGUUGCACAUGGAAUAAACAAACAUACAGUCAAUAAUACAGUAGAAAAAAAGUCUAUAUACAGCGUGUGCAAAUGAGGUAGGAUAAGGGAGGUAAGGCAAUAAAUAGGCCAUGGUGGCGAAGUAAUUACCAUAUUGCAAUUAAACACUAGAAUUGUAUAUGUGCAGAAGAUGAAUGUGCAAGUAGAGAUACUGGGGUGCAAAGGAGCAAGAUAAAUAAAUAAACACAGUAUGGGGAUGAGGUAGUUGGAUGGGCUAUUUAUAGAUGGGCUAUGUACAGGUGCAGUGAUCUGUGAGCUGCUCUGACAGCUGUUGCUUAAAGCUAGUGAGGGAGAUAAGUGUUUCCAGCUUCAGUGAUUUUUGCAGUUCGUUCCAGUCAUUAGCAGCAGAGAACUGGAAGGAAAGGCGGCCAAAGGAAGAAUUGGCUUUGGGGGUGACCAGUGAGAUAUACCUGCUGGAGAGCGUGCUACGGGUGGGUGCUGCUAUGGUAACCAGUGAGCUGAGAUAAGGCGGGGCUUUACCUAGCAGAGACUUGUAGAUGACCUGGAGUCAGUGGGUUUGGCGGCAAGUAUGAAGUGAGGGCCAGCCAACAAGAGCGUACAGGUUGCAGUGGUGGGUAGUAUAUGGGGCUUUGGUGACAAAACGGAUGGCACUGUGAUAGACUUCAUUCAAUUUGUUGAGUAGAGUGUUGGAGGCUAUUUUGUCAAUGACAUUCCCAAAAUCGAGGAUCGGUAGGAUGUUUAGUUUUACACGGGUAUGUUUGGCAGCAUGAGUGAAGGAUGCUUUGUUGCGAAAUAGGAAGCCGAUUCUAGAUAUAAUUUUGGAUUGGAGAUGCUUAAUGUGAAUCUGGAAGGAGAGUUUACAGUCUAACCAAACAGCUAGGUAUUUGUAGUUGUCCACAUAUUCUAAGUCAGAACCGUCCAGAGUAGUUAUGCUGGAUGGGCGGGCAGGUGCGGGCAACGAUCGGUUGAAUGGCAUGCAUUUAGUUUUACUUGCAUUUAAGAGCAGUUGGAGGCCACGGAAGGAGACUUGUAUGGCAUUGAAGCUCGUCUGGAGGUUUGUUAACACAGUGUCCAAAGAGGGGCCAGAAGUAUACAGAAUGGUGUCGUCUGCAUUGAGGUGGAUCAGAGAAUCACCAGCAGCAAGAGAGACAUCAUUGAUGUAUACAGAGAAGAGAGUCGGCCCGAGAAUUGAACCCCGUGGCACCCCAAUAGAGACUCCCAGAGGUCCCUCCGAUUUGACACACUGAACUCUAUCAGAGAAGUAGUUGGUGAACCAGGCGUAGCAAUCAUUUGAGAAACAAAGGCUGUUGAGUCUGCCGAUAAGAAUGUGGUGAUUGACAGAGUCGAAAGCCUUGGCCAGGUCGAUGAAUACGGCUGCACAGUAAUGUCUCUUAUUGAUGGCGGUUAGGAUAUCGUUUAGGACCUUGAGCGUGGCUGAGGUGCACCCAUGACCAGCUCGGAAACCAGAUUGCAUAGCGGAGAAGGUAUGGUGGGAUUCGAAGUGGUCGGUAAUCUGAUCCUAACUUGGCUUUCGAAGACCCAGACUGAUCCCCUGGUCAUGAACGCAUGCCGGGAUCUACCAGGAGGAGCAAUUUCUCGAGCUUGGCCACUUGCCGCCCCUUACUUGCCCCCCCCCGGUUACACAGACCACUUCCUCAACAAUGACAGAUAGUGUUUUAGGUGAAACAUGAAAAGUUUUAUUCAAACAUUUGAAAAAUGUUAUUAAAAAUACCCGGCUUGAUAAACAAUUGGCUAAUUCCCCAGCCAUGCAGAUACACAUUUUGGUUGUGAAGUGCAUUAGCAAAUAGCUUGGUCCUUUAUUUAGAACAAAAUGCAAUUAAACACUUGGCUGUCUAUUAUAUCACCCUGUCAUAGGUCCUACAAGUCAACACCACCUCAUAAGAUUGCCUGCUGCAGUUGUUUGAGAGAUGUCCAGUUUGCAGCCGAACAUGCAGCAUAGAGAAGAUCAGCAAGGGGGGCCUCAUCCGCAUCAUGCAGACUGUUUGCAUUCCUAUGACUGGAACAGUCAGCCACACGUUGGAAAGUAUUCUGCCAGCAACCUUCACCUGCCAGUGUCAAAAGCUUUCACGGGCUCAUCAUUAGAACAAAUACAGAAAUGGACAGAACCCCAACAAGAAUACCCAAGGAAAUAUGGACUCUACCUAUGAAAGACUUCAGAGGCGCUGAACCCGACAAUAUUCUACCGUUCUGUACAGCCGGCUUUACCAAAAUGCCAAACACAAGAAGCGCAGAUUUAAAACACAGCUACACAACCCCUGGAAACUCCACCCAAUCGCUAUAUAAUCUAUAUGACCAGCAUCACAAUACUGGGUCAGAAGUGCACUGCGCAGAAUCACCCCGGCCCGAGAAGCGCCCUUCUCGUCUGGUCGGAAAACAAUUGGAUUCAAGAGUAUGCUCUCUAUGGAUAAGGUAUGACCAGUUAUACUUUUUUAAAUUAGUUCUACAUUUUUUGAUAGAAUAUGUUGAAACAAUGUCAAAUAAUGUUUUUUUUUAAGACUCCAACGAUAGCUAUACAAACCAUGCAGAAUCUACAAAGCCAGAGAACAUUGGGAUAGGAACCCCAUUAUGGAUGAUUUGUAACGGCUUUCUAGCUCUUCCUCCUCCGACGAGGAGAGGAGAGAGGGAUCGGAAGACCAAUAUGCAGCGAGAUAUGACAUGAUAUGAUUUAUUUAAGACACGACAAAACAACGAAGACAGAAAACGAACUAUACUUGAAUUAACUAACAAAAUAACAAAACGAAUGUGUAGACAGACCUGAACAAUACGAACUUACAAAUAACACGAAGAACGCACGAACAGGGAAAAUAGACUACACAAAAGAACGAUGUACAAAACAAACCGAAAACAGUCCCGUGUGGUGCACAGACACGGAAGACAAUCACCCACAAACAAACAGUGUGAACACACCUACCUUAAUAUGACUCUCAAUCAGAGGAAAUGAAAAACACCUGCCUCUAAUUGAGAGCCAUAUCAGGUCACCCAAAACCAACAUAGAAACAGAAAACAUAGACUGCCCACCCAAACUCACGUCCUGACCAACUAACACAUACAAAAACUAACAGAAAACAGGUCAGGAACGUGACACGAUUCCUCAGAAAAGCAGGCGUCAAACAACCAGAGGUAAUUUAACUAAACCCCAAGGCCUAACAGUGUUAAUAUGUUAAUAUAUCUGAAAUGUAUUUGAGAUUGACAUUUUUAUAUAAUAUAUCUUAAAUUUUUAAUACACUAUUUUGUAUAUAUUUUUCUUUCAACUCCUCCCAGGCAUGUACAGACACAGAAGGCCCAAUAUGUCGAGAGGAAGACGCCGAUGAGGGAGAGGGCGCCCAGGACAUACAUAGUAAAACAUCUAAACAUGAUAAUUUCAACGCUGUAAAUGGCAAUGAGGAAGACGAUGUGCUGAUGUAUGAAGCGGCCAAACAGCUUGAUACAGUCAAUUCUGAUAGAUAUUCUAAAACUGGAGGACAUCGAAUUUUCCGAUGUCUUUAUGUCAGUUGUAUGUAUUUUUUAAGUUAAAAUGUAUGCAUUUUGUAUAAAUAUAUUUGAAUAUUAUUUAAAACGUCUAUAGGAUUCCCAGAUGCUACCGGGAAUAAUUGAUUUGGGCCAUCCAACAUUAGCUGUUAUAACUAUUGAAGAUGCAAAAAGGGGUUUUAAGAAAUACAUUUGUUUGAUUGACAGAUUUGUAUCAUUAUAAAAAAUAAUAUAACAUCAUUAUUAUUAUCAUAAUCUUUCUUAUUAUUAUUAUGUUACAGGCGAGACAUACCCAGAACAUACCCAGAAAUGUCAACGUCUUGUCAAGUGCUCAAAUCUGUACAGCAGCCCCAUGUAAUCACGUACAGUAGCGCCAAAUUACAGGAAUGUGUUUACCAGGCAGUGAUGAAAACAUUUUAAAUUAGCUCUAAUUCAAACAUAAAAUGAUAUAUAUUUUAUACAAUUACCCAUUCAAAACUGUUGUUACAAUAUCACUUCUCAUUGUGUACACUUCAAGGUUUCACAAACAUAAAGCAACUAUCUCAUUAACGUUUCUCGGACUAACACACUGUUGAGUUUCCUAUUUACUAAAGAACAAUCAUUAGGACAAAACACAACAAGUUGUAAUAUAAUCAGUAUGCAUGUCAUUCUAUACUGAAAACAGGUACAUUCUGAAAGAUGUUGAUGUGACGACACAUUUUUUUAAAUUCACCUCUCAAUUUAGGAUAAUACUGUUUAAUUUAUACUUGACUUAAAUUGUGCUAUUGAUCUUGACUCAUACCAUGCUAAUAAUACACUACCAAGCAAUGCAAACGGAGGAGGAAUUAACCCCAUAACAGGUGUGUGUCUUUUGGGAUCAAGAAUUGAUCAAGAAUACCAAUAGGCUUGAUCAGAUCCUCUUCCCUAUUCGGGCAUCAUAUAAUGCACAGCCACAUGCAAAUCCAUAAAACGCCACCAAUAAAACAUUGAAAACCUUAA